ACGACGCUGGCGGCGUGCCUAAUACAUGCAAGUCGAACGGUCUUUCUAUGGAAGCUUGCUUCCACUGAGAAGAUAGUGGCGAACGGGUGAGUAACACGUGGGUAACCUGCCCAUAAGAGGGGGAUAACAUCCGGAAACGGGUGCUAAUACCGCAUAGUUUUCUUGAUCGCAUGAUUGAGAAAGGAAAGACGGCCUUUGUGCUGUCGCUUAUGGAUGGACCCGCGGCGUAUUAGUUAGUUGGUGAGGUAAUGGCUCACCAAGACGAUGAUACGUAGCCGACCUGAGAGGGUGAUCGGCCACAUUGGGACUGAGACACGGCCCAAACUCCUACGGGAGGCAGCAGUAGGGAAUCUUCCGCAAUGGACGAAAGUCUGACGGAGCAACGCCGCGUGAGUGAAGAAAAGGUUUUCGGAUCGUAAAACUCUGUUGUCAGAGAAGAACAAGUUGGAGAGUAACUGCUCCAGCCUUGACGGUAUCUGACCAGAAAGCCACGGCUAACUACGUGCCAGCCGCCGC
rnacentral:rRNA from 1 species